GGGCGAAGGUCUUUUAAGCCUGUUAUCUUUUUGUUAUACCUUUUUUUGGAUGUGAUGCAUAAGUAAAGGGCAAAUUAUAAGUGCAAAUUCUCAAACGUUCAAUAACAUUGGUAGCUACCAUGGAUAAAUGUACCUUAAAUAAAAUCGAAUUUAAAUUUUGACCAAAAUGGCUAAGGUUCAUGAACCUUGUUGCCAAUCUACGUCGUUUUUCACCUGAACAUUUUAAAGGACUUACGAAUCCUUUAAGCUUAACCUGUCAACGUUUAUGGACAACAUAUAAUCAACAAAUAAGAUCGGCGGAAAUAUGUCUCUUUGGCAUAAUAAAUAUAGUAUUUCAUAUAAAUAUAUAAUA
rnacentral:sRNA from 1 species